UCGUGAUGAUUGUCUAGAUGACGAGUCUUAUUCGAGUUUUCGAUGCAGAAAACAUCUUUUUUUACCAUUCAUGCAUAUCUGACA
rnacentral:snoRNA from 1 species